rnacentral:lncRNA from 1 species
GACUUUCCCGUUUGAUUUAUUUACUUGAUUUACAGCCUAAAUGUGUGCGUAUAUGUGUCAAAUGAAGGUAGGGAGUUCCAUAAUGCAGAUAACGAAAGUCGAUUCCAAGUCAUGAGAUGGAAGUAAGUGAUGGCGGGACGUUGCAUCGACUUCGUAUCCCUGGAAAGGGUGGGAUUGGCUCACGAUGUGCGUACUCUGU